rnacentral:siRNA from 1 species
GGAAGACGCGGUUUAACAUAAUCG